rnacentral:rRNA from 1 species
GACAGAGGUGCCGAGCGUUAGGCGGAAUCACUGGGCUUAAAGCGUGUGUAGGUGGAUGCCUAAGUACCUUGUGAAAUCCCACGGCUUAACCGUGGAACUGCUUGGUAUACUGGGUGUCUUGAGCCAGCUAGGGGCUACCGGAACAAAUGGUGGAGCGGUGAAAUGCGUAGAUAUCAUUUGGAACGCCAAUGGUGAAAACAGGUAGCUGUGGCUGUGCUGACACUGAGACA